GAGAUAUAAAAAUAGCAAUAUUAGACCAUCUGUUUUGCUGGACCUCAUAAAGUAAUCUCCACAACUGCAAGUAUAAACUCAUGUUUCUGUGGGAGUUUCAGAUUUAGAAGUGCCUUUUCUACUACCUAUUGGACUAUUUCACUGCAUCUAAAAUUUGCUACCCUUUUUGUUUUCCUUUUCUCCACUUGUUAACAAAUUGUGUGGGCUUUUAAUGCAGGUGGG
rnacentral:misc_RNA from 1 species